GAACCAGCACAUUGUUCGGGAGAAAGCUCAUCGCCUGGGUAAGGAAGUCGAGAAGAUGGGUCACGAGGUGUCUUCUCUCCGAUCCCAACUUUCGUCCGCUCAGGACUACAUAUCUCAAAUUGAGGGACGAAUGAAGUUCUAUGAGGACAAGCUGGCCGAGCAAGCUCAUGUUCUGGCCGAGCGGGAUCAUGCUCUUGAGGAAGUGCAAGCGCUCCGGGCCGAUGAAGCUGCUCAACUUGCUCACUUUGCUGAGGAGCUCAAGGCGAAAG
rnacentral:misc_RNA from 1 species